rnacentral:rRNA from 1 species
ACCUCCUACGGGAGGCAGCAGUGGGGAAUAUUGCACAAUGGGCGUAAGCCUGAUGCAGCCAUGCCGCGUGUGUGAAGAAGGCCUUCGGGUUGUAAAGCACUUUCAGUCGUGAGGAAGGUAGUGUAGUUAAUAGCUGCAUUAUUUGACGUUAGCGACAGAAGAAGCACCGGCUAACUCCGUGCCAGCAGCCGCGGUAAUACGGAGGGUGCGAGCGUUAAUCGGAAUUACUGGGCGUAAAGCGCAUGCAGGUGGUUUGUUAAGUCAGAUGUGAAAGCCCGGGGCUCAACCUCGGAAUUGCAUUUGAAACUGGCAGACUAGAGUACUGUAGAGGGGGGUAGAAUUUCAGGUGUAGCGGUGAAAUGCGUAGAGAUCUGAAGGAAUACCGGUGGCGAAGGCGGCCCCCUGGACAGAUACUGACACUCAGAUGCGAAAGCGUGGGGAGCAAACAGGAUUAGAUACCCUGGUAGGAUAGCG